rnacentral:rRNA from 1 species
UACGAAGGGGGCGAGCGUUGUUCGGAAUUACUGGGCGUAAAGGGCGCGCAGGCGGCCUCUUGACGUCAGCUGUGAAAGCCCCGGGCUCAACCUGGGAAUGGCAUUUGAUACUCGAGGGCUUGAGUACGGGAGAGGAGAGUGGAAUUCCCAGUGUAGAGGUGAAAUUCGUAGAUAUUGGGAAGAACACCGGUGGCGAAGGCGGCUCUCUGGACCGUAACUGACGCUGAGGCGCGAAAGCGUGGGGAGCAAACAGG